UGGGAAUGGUCUCUCCUAGGGUGUGGAUU
rnacentral:piRNA from 1 species